rnacentral:rRNA from 1 species
CACGUAGGAGGCGAGCGUUGUCCGGAAUCAUUGGGCGUAAAGAGCGCGCAGGCGGCUUGGCAAGUCGGGUGUGAAAUCCCGGGGCUCAACCCCGUGACUGCAUUCGAUACUGUCAGGCUAGAGGUAGGUAGGGGAGAUCGGAAUUCCUGGUGUAGCGGUGAAAUGCGCAGAUAUCAGGAGGAACACCGGUGGCGAAGGCGGCCAUCUGGGACAACACUGACGCUGAAGCACGAAAGCGUGGGGAGCAAACAGG